ensembl:miRNA pma-mir-18b pma-mir-18b
GUGCUUGCUUGUGUAAAGGUGCAUUUAGUGCAGAUAGUGGCAUAGCUGGCAUUCUACUGCUCUAUGUGCUCCUUCUUUCACAAGAAGUCAC